rnacentral:rRNA from 1 species
GACGAACGCUGGCGGCGUGCUCAACACAUGCAAGUCGAACGGAAAGGCCCUGCUUUUGUGGGGUGCUCGAGUGGCGAACGGGUGAGUAACACGUGAGUAACCUGCCCUUGACUUUGGGAUAACUUCAGGAAACUGGGGCUAAUACCGGAUAGGAGCUCCUGCUGCAUGGUGGGGGUUGGAAAGUUUCGGCGGUUGGGGAUGGACUCGGGGCUUAUCAGCUUGUUGGUGGGGGAGUGGCUUACCAAGGCUUUGACGGGUAGCCGGCCUGAGAGGGUGACCGGCCACAUUGGGACUGAGAUACGGCCCAGACUCCUACGGGAGGCAGCAGUGGGGAAUAUUGCACAAUGGGCGGAAGCCUGAUGCAGCAACGCCGCGUGCGGGAUGACGGCCUUCGGGUUGUAAACCGCUUUCGCCUGUGACGAAGCGUGAGUGACGGUAAUGGGUAAAGAAGCACCGGCUAACUACGUG